AGGACGAACGCUGGCGGCGUGCUUAAUACAUGCAAGUCGAACGAGGUCCAUCUGGUGGUAACACCAGUGAAGACCUAGUGGCGAACGGGUGCGUAACACGUGAGCAACCUGCCCCGUAGACCGGGAUAACACCGGGAAACCAGUGCUAAUACCGGAUGCCCCCCACGAACCCGCAUGGGUUUGUGAGGAAAGGAAUCCGCUUCGGGAGGGGCUCGCGACCUAUCAGCUUGUGGUGGGUAACGCCUACCAAGGCUACGACGGGUAGC
rnacentral:rRNA from 1 species